AUAGUCAAGUUACUAAGAGCAUAUGGCGGAUGCCUUGGUACCAGGUGUUGAUGAAGGACGCGGUUAGCUGCGAUAAGCCUCGGGUAGGUGCAAACAACCUUAGAUCCGGGGAUUUCCGAAUGGGGAAACCUGUUCCAGAUAAUACUGGAACAUCAUUAUCUGAACACAUAGGAUAGUGAGAACAACCAGGGGAACUGAAACAUCUUAGUACCCUGAGGAAGAGAAAUCAACCGAGAUUCCCUUAGUAGUGGCGAGCGAAAGGGGAACAGCCUAAACUUUUUGCAUGUUAAAGCCCACAAGCCUUGUGUAAAAAGAGUUGUAGGAGCUGCCUGGUUUUGUUGUGGCAAAAUCAAAGAGUUACAAAAUCUUAAAAUAGCUGAACAGUUUGGAAAAACAGGCCAUAGGNNGGCCAUAGGAGGUAAAAGCCCUGUAAGCGAAAUUUUAAGGUCUCUUGGCAGAUUUCCUGAGUACGGUGGGACACGUGAAAUCCUGCCGGAAGCUACGAGGACCACCUUGUAAGGCUAAAUACUACCUGGUGACCGAUAGUGGACUAGUACCGUGAGGGAAAGGUGAAAAGUACCCCGGGAGGGGAGUGAAAUAGUACCUGAAACCAUAUGCUUACAAGCAGUCGGAGGGAGGGGAGCAAAGUUCUCCCUGGUCUACGAGACCAACUCCUGACGGCGUGCCUUUUGUAGAAUGAACCGGUGAGUUACAGUAUGUAGCGAGGUUAAGGUGUAUACUGGAGCCGAAGCGAAAGCGAGUCUGAAUAGGGCGAUUUAGUUGCAUGCUGUAGACCCGAAGCCGAGUGAUCUAUCCAUGGGCAGGUUGAAGCGAGGGUAAGACCUCGUGGAGGACCGAACCCACCAGGGUUGAAAACCUGGGGGAUGACCUGUGGAUAGGGGUGAAAGGCCAAUCAAACUCGGAGAUAGCUGGUUCUCCCCGAAAUAGCUUUAGGGCUAGCCUUAAGCGUUUAGUUAUGGUGGUAGAGCACUGAUUGGACUAGGGGCCCCACCAGGUUACCAAACCCAGUCAAACUCCGAAUGCCAUAACUUUAGAGCUUGGGAGUCAGACUGUGGGGGAUAAGCUCCAUAGUCGAAAGGGAAACAGCCCAGACCGUCAGCUAAGGUCCCUAAAUAUAGGCUAAGUGGUAAAGGAUGUGGAAUUGCACAGACAGCCAGGAGGUUGGCUUAGAAGCAGCAACCCUUUAAAGAGUGCGUAACAGCUCACUGGUCAAGUGGUUCUGCGCCGACAAUUUCCGGGGCUAAAGUCUAUUACCGAAGCUACGGGUUUCAGAAGUCUGAAGUCUGAAAUAAGAAAAUACACAGUUCUAGGAGGGGCAAUGGAUCAAGAAUAUAUCUAUUUAUACCAAAGGGUUUAUCAAUCANNNNNNNNNNNNNNNNNNNNNNNNNNNNNNNNNNNNNNNNNNNNNNNNNNNNNNNNNNNNNNNNNNNNNNNNNNNNNNNNNNNNNNNNNNNNNNNNNNNCUUUGGAGAUUCAGACUUACCUUAACUUUGCUCAUGAUCUCAAUUAUUUGAAAAACAUGGAUUAUUCUAGAUUAAUAUCGAUAUAUGGGCAGGUUAACGAAAUUACUGAAGAUUAUAUUGAUUAGUUUUCUUAUUUUAGAUUUCGGACUUCUGGAGCGGUAGGGGAGCAUUCUCUACGGGUUGAAGUUAACUCGCAAGGGUUAAUGGACUGUAGGGAAGAGAGAAUGCCGGUAUAAGUAGCGAAUGUGAGGCGAGAAACCUCACCGCCGGAUGCUUAAGGGUUCCUGAGCAAUGUUAAUCAUCUCAGGGUCAGUCGGGACCUAAGCCGAGGGGGAAACCCGUAGGCGAUGGACAACAGGUAGACAUUCCUGUACCACCAAGUUGCGUUUGACCGAAGUGGUGACGCAGAAGGGUAGACCAUCCUCGAGUUGGUUUUCGAGGUUCAAGCAUGUAGGGGGCCAGGUAGGCAAAUCCGCCUGGUAUUAAACCCCAAGGUGUGAUAACGAGCCAAUUGAGGCGAAGUGGUUGAUCUCAAGCUGCCAAGAAAAACCUCUAGGGAGCAGCAAGGUGCCCGUACCCCAAACCGACACAGGUAGGCAGGGAGAGAAUCCCAAGGCGAUCGAGAGAACUCUCGUUAAGGAACUCGGCAAAAUGACCCCGUAACUUCGGGAGAAGGGGUGCCCUAUUAGGGUGAAGGUCUUGCGACUGGAGCUCGAGGGGGUUGCAGUGAAACGGCCCAAGCGACUGUUUACUAAAAACACAGGUCUCUGCUAAGUCGAAAGACGAUGUAUAGGGGCUGACGCCUGCCCGGUGCUGGAAGGUUAAGAGGAGGGGUUAGGCUUUUAGCCGAAGCACUGAAUCUAAGCCCCAGUAAACGGCGGCCGUAACUAUAACGGUCCUAAGGUAGCGAAAUUCCUUGUCGGGUAAGUUCCGACCUGCACGAAUGGCGUAACGACUUGGGCGCUGUCUCAACCAGGGACUCGGCGAAAUUGUAGUACCAGUGAAGAUGCUGGUUACCCGCGACAGGACGGAAAGACCCCGUGAACCUUUACUAUAGCUAGACAUUGGAUUUUGAUCCAUUUUGUAGAGGAUAGGUGGGAGGCUUUGAAGCCGGGACGCCAGUCUCGGUGGAGCCAACCUUGGAAUACCACCCUGAAUGUAUUGAGGUUCUAACGGUAGACCGUUAUCCGGCUGAGGAACAGUGUCAGGUGGGUAGUUUGACUGGGGCGGUCGCCUCCAAAAGAGUAACGGAGGCGCCCAAAGGUUCCCUCAGCACGGUCGGCAAUCGUGCGCAGAGUGUAAGGGCAUAAGGGAGCUUAACUGUGAGACUUACAAGUCGAACAGGGACGAAAGUCGGGCCUAGUGAUCCGACGGUUCAGUGUGGAAUGGCCGUCGCUCAACGGAUAAAAGGUACUCCGGGGAUAACAGGCUUAUCCUGCCCAAGAGUCCAUAUCGACGGCAGGGUUUGGCACCUCGAUGUCGGCUCAUCGCAUCCUGGGGCUGGAGCAGGUCCCAAGGGUUNNAGCGGUACGCGAGCUGGGUUUAGAACGUCGUGAGACAGUUCGGUCCCUAUCCGUUGCGGGCGUAGGAAACUUGAGGGGAGUCGUCCCUAGUACGAGAGGACCGGGAUGAACAAACCUCUAGUGUACCAGUUGUCUCGCCAGAGGCACUGCUGGGUAGCUAUGUUCGGAAAGGAUAAGCGCUGAAAGCAUCUAAGCGCGAAGCCUGCCCCAAGAUUAGGUUUCCCACCCUAUAAUGAUAGGGGUAAGAUUCCUUGUAGACUACAAGGUUGAUAGGACGCAGGUGUAAGAACAGCAAUGUUUUUAGCUGAGCGUUACUAAUAGAUCGAGGACUUGAUUCU
rnacentral:rRNA from 1 species